AUGACACAAUUACUGAAUUUGGUAGGAUAAAGGCAUGAAACAGGCGCCUUGCCAGUACAUUUGUUCCUUCUAUUCCUGAUUGUUUGAUUUUCCUGAGGUAAAUAAACCAAGAACUACCCAGAAAAAGAUCAAUGAUUUGCGAAGGAACACUUACUGGUAAAUCCGCUUACAACCACGAAUAUUCAUUUAAAAAAAGACUUUGAUUUGGGAAGUAUCAGUACUCCUUCAAAAAUUGAAAAUCAAUCGGGAGCUGAGAAAACAUGGAACUCAAAUAACAUCAGAGGUGGGAUCAGGGACCAUGGAGGAAUGAGCAUCACCUGCUGACCAGUCACACCCGCCGUGUACUCUUUGUCAUGAUCGGGAAAACGGAAAAACGGUAGACAAUUCAGUGUGCAAAUAAUAGCCCAACGAUUGAAUUUAGUGCGAAAUUGCCAUUUCUACAGGAAGGAAAAGGUGACAAGGAGCUCAAGGCGAGUGUGAUCGGUCGACAAGGGAUGUUUACUCCUCCAUGUCAUCUGAUCGCACCUCUGGUGUUUUUAGAGGUCCUUGUUUGUCUACUCCCAAUUUGUUUUCUUCCAAUGAACUUUUCAGCUUGAUUACCAUUCGAUCCAUUCAUAUUUUAUUUGUUUUAUGUUUAAUAAAAAUAAUUUAGGUCAA